CAUUUGCCGAGGUAGGCGUUCGUUUUUCUUCGACAUAUCACCCCAUCAUGAUUUUGGCCUCUCAAGCGGUCUAAAAUGAUCGAAAUUUCGGGGAACUUUAGGUGAGCCUAAAAGAUACUUCCUACAAAUUCCAGAAUCUCUUAUUUUCGUGAGAUAAUAUUUGUCCCCUUAUGAGUUGAUUGAGAAAGAUUAGAGGUCUUUCGCAUUAAUUCUACGGUUUUCACGAGGUGCCAAAUAUCGCCGCCGAAUCGUUAAUAAGCGUGACCCAAAUUUUAGCCAUUUUCAGCGAGUCGUUUUUCAAAAGUGCGGCAGUUUAUUUCCACAGAAAGACAUUUUUGUGAUAGUCGUUUGCACUGUUAUCAAUAUCCAGUUUAGUUAAAACUGGUAUCUACAGGCAAAUCGGAGUAAUUGGUCUCGCAAAGUCCAAAAAAAGUCAUUGGCCAGAAAUAUUUCCCGCCAAAUUUUUAGCGAAGAAUAUCACCUUAUACCGACUUUCUGCGAUUGUUAUCCAUGAUUUACUAAAAGAUUUGCAAAAAAUAGUUAGCUGGACUGCAGAAUAGAAUAUUUAAGCUGUGACAUCGUUAUUGACAUAUGGAAACAUUUCAAACUUGCCAAAUCCUUAGGCUAAAUUUUCCCCCGAAAAUUCUAUUUUUAACGUCAUGCUGCAUGGAAAAACAAACUGGAUCCUCAGUUCGCUGGUCUCUUUUGCUAUUUAGAAGAACAAACUGUAAGUUAAUAGUGAGCGAAGCUUUUCCCUGAAUCAGUUUAAUUUUGGGACUUCGGCAAACCCUUUGUUUAUAUCGAUUUUCUCGUUUUCGGAAGGCGUGACGCGUUACAGAUUCAAAGGUCAGAUGACAGGACUUCGAGAUGUCGAUCUCACCUAAAGGUUUUUCCUUGGUUUUGAAAACAUUAGCUGUUCUUUCGGAUC